GACGAGGUGGCCGAGAGGUUAAGGCGAUGGACUGGUAAUCCAUUGUGCUCUCCACGUGUGGGUUCAAAUCCCACCUUCUUCG